rnacentral:misc_RNA from 1 species
CGUGCACCUAUCGUACACAUCUCCCCACCACCACCCCACCUCACCUCACCCUCUUUUCUUUCGUACGUGGACGGGAAGUGGCGUGGGCAAGGGCGCACCGUCGCACCCAAGGAAUCACGCAGUCCUCCGCUCAGUCGGCCUACGCGUGUGCGGCGACGGCCUGCCCUCUUCCUUCCCCGCACGUACUCCUCUUCCCUACUCCCUCUCUGUGAGUGUGACGCCCACCUGCCCAUCCGCUAUCACCGCCUGUAUCUUCUAGUGCAGCAGCGCCCACGCUUGCUCGCCCCCUGCUGCGCGCAUGCAAUGGUGGCCGCGCCACCGCUUCGCCCAACACAGACACCGGAACAAACUCACAGCCACGUGCAGGCAGAGGUUGUGGUCGGCGCAGCUUCCAGCCUGGGUGCUGAAUGUUCCCCGGCUACGUACCGGGGGCGUAUAGCAGCCAACGUCCGCGCAGCGUAGCGCCGUCAACUCUUAGCCCAAGCAACGCCGGUGUGCUGACGCCGAGUAGAGACGACGGCUCACGCAGCGGUUCACAUCCGGUUGCACACGAAACGGCGUCGACGGCACCUGCAGCAGCGUCCACAAACCUCGUUGAGGCCGACUCAUCGCCCACUUUCUCGCCCUCCACAUUCAUCUGCCCCGACCGUCGAGUCGACACCCACUUCGACCUUCCACCAGCUCUCAUCACGUGUCUUGUGCGGCACAUAGAUGGCCAGCACCAGCCCCUCGCCACGCCGGCGAUCGUGGAGCGGUGUCUGCGCGACUUGCAGCGUCGACUCAUGCCGUGGGUGCCCGUGGAGCGCGUUUUCGGGUCCGCGAUGCAGGCGACAGCGUCGAUGGACGCGAGAACGUUCGGCGCUGCUCAUCGGAGGGGCAGCAUCGUCUCCUCUCCGGUGAGCAGCGCCGCGCCGCCGCCAACCACCACGCUGUACACUGGCUCGUACCUGGCGGGAAGCCGCGUGCGUCUUCAGCUUGCCAAGACAGCCGACAUCGCCGCCGUGGAGAGUAGCACCUCGGCACUGCAUCUUCUCUUCUACGCAGUUGAUGAGUCGGAUUCAAGACCGGCAGUGCUGUCGCACAUCGCGCAGGAUUGGCGCGCCGCCCUGACGCGCAAGGGCGAAGGCGACGACUGCCUGGUGCUGCUCGUGCACAGCGACCUCAUCGCCGCUGCCGAAGUCGCCUCCCGGCUUGCAGAGGAGGCGCAGCAAAGCAGUGGCCAGAUACCAGCUGCCCAGUCGGGGCCACCACCACCCACUGGAAGCGCACCUGCACCGGCGCUUAGUCAGGCGCGGGUCGACGCUGCUGCCGGGCAGCUGCGCAAGUACUACAAGGAGCUCUGUGACGCAAAGUUUCUGCCACAGCAGAUGUGCGCCUACAUGCCGAACGAGACGCCGAUGCGCAUCCUCGAGCGACUGCGCUCCGCCGUCAUCAAACACGGCGCGCGCCUACGUCAGGCGCUUGAAGCAUGCGCGGCGCAGAAGCGACUGUUCCCGCAGGACCCUUUCACGAAGCCGAGGGUGCCGGUAGCUGCAAACGCAAGCACAACCGCAGAGGUCCAGCCGCCUGCCUCAGUAUCUUCUCCCAGCAUCGCGGCGUCACCGACCAGCGCGGCCGGAAAGGUGCUGCACACGGAUAGCAGCGCAUCGCUGCGGAUGUCGCCGCUGAAACCGCCAGUCGGUGCCGCCUCCCCGCCGCUGCUGGCGGUGCACAAGUACUGGAGCGUGCGGGAUUUCUGGCGGCGCGGCUACGACCUCGCCGUGCACUAUCUUCAGUACGGUCUCGUGUUCGACGCCCGCGCGGUGCUGGAGCGCCUUUUUCUCGAGUACUACAACAGCUCCGACGACUACGGCUUUCUGCGCGCCCCGGUGGCGACGCUGCAGCGCUUGGGGCGGGUUCCAAACCUGUUCGAGGCGCACAGGCACGCUGGUUGGGCGCAGAGCAAGUCUGGCUAUCCGCGAGGGCUAGACACUGAAGCGGAGCUACUCGAAGGUCUGCUGCUCGUCGCGUCGGCAGAGAUGACGUGCUCGUUGCUGCUCGGCGACACCGAAGCUGCGAUGGCGCGCUAUCACACGUUCAUGCAGGUCACGCGCGAGAAGUUCGACGAGCUUUCCGCUGCAGAUAGCAAGGAAAAGUCCUCGAUGCCACUGCCACCGAUGGCGGCGGAGGACAGCACGCAUGGCGCGGCCCCCCUGCACUCCGCGACGUAUCAGCAAUUCUUCCUGCUGCAGUGUUACUUGUCUGGGCUGCGCAUGUGGUGGCCGAUGAGCGGGCUCUGCCGUCCACGCCGCGAGGUCGCCGCCUCUCCAGCUGCUUCCACAUCACCACCACCGCAGUUGGAGACUCUCAGCGGAAGCGCCGCGGAGGAGCCGAGCAGCGCGAAUGAGGGCGGCCUGGUUGCCGUGGCUGCGGACGUGGACAACGACGACGACGGAGAACGCGCAUUAAUAGAGUCACCGCGGCCCUCCUCAUUCACCGCCCUCACCACAGCGGACACCGCAAACGUGCACGACGCAGCGCCUCUGCUGCGAACAGACACCGACCGGCUCGACUCGCUCGCCCGUCUCGAUAGCAGCGGCAGGGAAGUCCGCUACUCCAUCACAAGCCCGUCUUUUGCCGCGGCCCCCGCCAGCGUCCCUGGUCACUCCUUCCGCAUGGGCAGCGCUGGGCCCCUCUCUGGGCGGUCCGGCGGCGAGCACAGCGCGAUGCAACGGCGGUCAGUGGAGGGGAGUGCGAGCGAGGACGCGGAGGCCAUGAUGUGCGACCGAGAGCUUACCUACCUCUUGACGAGGUGCGAGGACACAGUGCAGGUGGCGGCCACCUAUCUUGUCGACCUCGCCACCUCGACAGGCUUGCUCCCCGAGCACAUGGAGCUGGUGGAGCUGCAGGAUAGUGUACAAGCCAUCCGUGACGCAGUCGACGCUGGCGACGCGCAGGCGGUGCGAGCCCUGAAGCACCAUCAAGAGCACCUGCGCCGCAGCUGCGCAGAGGCGGCGACUCUGCUAGAGCACGCCAGAGACGCACUGGCGGCCGUAGCGCACGAUCUCGGCUACGGCAACUUCAGCUGCCCAGCUAUGCACCCUGCCACCGUGCCUUUGGGCGUGCAAGCUGCGCAAGGCCCUUCUGGUGUCGAUGCCACCGCCACGCCUGCGGCGGCGUCUUCCGCGUUAGCCAACAUCGCGGAACUAUCGUCGCCGGAGCAGGCGUUGCGGCUGUGGCGGUUGCUGACGGCGAUGGCGGCUCUCGCCGUGCGCAUCGGGGAGCAGCGGCGCCGCGAAUUCCAUCUCUACGUCCAACUCGCCAUGACCUUCCUGAUGGACCACCCCAGCGUGACGGCGAACAUCGUGGCGGAGCGCCUGCUGCCGUACAUCAAGCUCCAAGGCUGGCGACGGAUCGAGCUGUUUGUGCGCCGGCUCUACGUGGAGGCACGAGAGCGGCUCAUGCACCGUGCCGGGCUGUUGGGCCCCUGCAGCGCUGCGGCGACCGCGCGCUCCGGCGACGUGGCGCAGGGUGUCGCAAUGAGCGGGUCAGAUGCGCGGCUUUGGCUUCGCGUCUUUCACACGAGCGGUGACUACGCCCUUUACCGCGAGUGCGUGCUGGUGCUACUGAGCAACACCGGCGGCUGUGGCGAGGACGACGAGCACUCCAGUGCUGGUGACUCCGCCGACAGCGUUGGCGAAGCGGCUGACUGCGGCGUGGCUGCUGAGUGCAUCGUCGGGUCGCUUGACAGCCGUUUUUUCUCCAUACGCACCAGGACGGAGCAGUGGCGCGAGCUAGUUCGGGUGGAUGCGUUGCUGAUGGGCACCAUCCUCCACGGGGAGCCGUCUGAGUACCCGCUGGAGCACUUUACGUCUCCGCUCACGGUGAAGGUGGAGCAGAGGGCAGCCGCCGCGGUCUCAAACGGCGACAGCGCCCUUGUCAAGAGCGAAUCCUCCAUUUUGGUAGAGCCUGGUGUGCUGAGGGCAGUCGUCGGCGAUGUCGUGCAGAUCACCUUCUCGUCCGUGUACACAAUCAACCCGCUGGUACGCCCGCUCUUUCCUGCCGCCGCAGCAGCAGGGCCGAGGGCGAUGGCACGCGAGACAGAGAACGCGGUGUGGUUCCAGCUGACGCUGGAGUCGCGCAAGGACUGGAACAGCGACGAGGAGGCGACUCACGAGGUGAACAUUCGCGACGCUGACGCAGUCCACUAUGAUGAGCAGACGCAUCGGCUGCGCGUGACUUUCACCUUCCCGGUAUGCCACGCUGGCCUCUAUCGUGUGCACCGCCUGCGCCUAUGCAGCGGCGGCACGUGGCUAGCCUACUACCCUCAGCGCAACGUCAGCGGCAGCUGCGGCGCAGGUGGGCGGGCGCCGUCUCUGAGGGCUGCAGGGUCGCACGCCUUCUCCACACCGCGUCCGACGCACGUCAUGGUGGAACCGCUGUACCAGCUAGUCGGCCGCUCCGCGCUGCUGCAGGUGCCGGAGCAGCGCAGCAGCGUGCAUCUCCGACUCACGCUCCCACGUGAGGCCCACUGCUUUGCCGAUAGCGUCGACUACGUGACGUUGGACGUGGAGCUGGAGGACCCUCUCUCUAUCAGCGCGCCGUCUGCCGAAGGCUUGGGCGGUGUUAUGUCGGCGACUUUUACGGACCCUCAGUUGGUUAGAGGACUUGCUGUGAGACCAGGGAAGCAUGGCCGAGUAGGCGGCGAAGACGGUCGUUGUCCAGCCGCGGACUGUGCAUGCUCCUUCAAGGUCAGUCCAGGUAACCUUCUCUUGCCGCUGUCAGCCGGCAGAAGCGGCCUCGGUGGCGACCAGCUCGCCCGCCCCCAACGCGCCGAACCGUACGUGCCGCUUGUCGUCGACGGGGCUGAAGCUCACCACGAUGACGCAACGCUGCGACGGGCGUCGACCUCGUCUCUCACGCAGCACUUGCUGCUCCUCCCGCCCGAGGAUGACGGGGCCAACAGCGAUGGCAGCGAGGCGCACACGCCGUCAGGCACGCCGCGCCUCGUUGCUGCGGUGGUGCUUGGCACCCCCAACGCUUAUCGCCAGAAAAGCGGCGCGGUGGGGGCGGGAGUAGCGCGCUCCAGCCCUGGCACCUCCAUCCCGAGCCUCAGCAUGGCCGUGUCCGGCGCUGGCCCUUCUCGAGUUGCGGCACCUAGCGGCGGCAGUGGGGUUUUGGGCCUGAGCGGCUCCUUCGCCGUGCGGACCUCACAGCCGGUGUGCUGCGGCGCGGCAGAGCACAUUCAGCACAGCAAGUCCGUCUUCAAGUCGCGGCACGUGGGCAGCCUCUUCGGAAUGACAGCCGUGGCGGCGUCAACAGCGGCGCACGUCGAUGCGGCGGCAGCGGUAGUGCCCCCGACGGCGGCAGCCAUGAUCUAUCCAGGCGUGACGCACAGUGACAAGAAAGCCCCGCAGCAACAGCAGCGGCAGCAGUCUUCGCUUCACCCUCAUCGCUAUGCCAAAGAGCUCCACACGCCCUCCGAGCGCGGCGCACAGGACGGGCGGUUUACAGCGGGCGACGACGGGAUCAGUGGUGACGAGCGGAGGAGUCGUGGGGUAGCUACCUCUAUAUCCGGCCUCGGCUUCCCGGGCAUCCCCGGCGGAGCCGCCGCGACACCCGCGCCGUCCCUGCUGCGCCGGGUCUCCGAGGACAAGCUGGAGCUGGUUCUGAUGCAUGCUGAUACGGUCAUAAGGGACGACAGAAGCGCGGCCGUGGCGCCGCCCAGCGCGAAGACGGCGGCAGCAAUGUCCGCCGCUCACACCGUAGUGCCGAUUCACCUUGGCUGCUUCCUGAAGGACCUCCCAUCACCGGAGGUGCACUUGACUUCAACCAAGAGCGAUGUCAUGGCUCCUGGCACGUCGGUGCUGCGGGCGGAGUGCUGCCUCGCGGCCGACCCGCUGCGUGAGACGGUGAUUCGGCUGCUCCCCGGCACCUCGCAUGCGGUCGCACCGGCGACCGACGACACCGGGUCUGAGAAGGCUAGCGUUGCGGUCAGGCACAUGUGCCUCCGCCUGCCACUGCUGCCGCUCCUCACCACUCCGAUCUCCGCCGAGGCGCUGGCGAGUCAGCGGCCAGAGACGGUGGUAUCCGGUAGAGGGGCGAGCAAGGACUCCACACCGCCCGCCGCGGUGGCCGCGAAUCAGGCGCGCAUCGCCUUUACCUGUCUGCGCGGUCGUGAGCCGUACACGACCACCCUGAGCGCAGUGCUGCCCUUCCAAGCCGCUAUCGGCUUCAACUACGCCUUUAAGCACCUCCAGGGGCGUGUGUACUGCCUAGUAAAAAUGAAGAACCUCCUGGCAAGCACCUCGCUGUGGCUGCGCGGCGCCGUGCUGCGCGUGCUCGACGCGGAGCCGUCGUAUGAGAUUGUGCGAGUGUGCGAGGUGUACAACAAACUUCUCCUUAGAGAGUGGAAGCCGCAGGAGGAGCUGAGCAUCCUCUAUGAGCUGGAUCUCAUCGCUUCCUUCCACCCUGUGCAGCCGGAGUGCACGCAUCAGGUGCAGGUGGAGGCCUUCUACUCCAGCUGGCAUCAAACGUUCCUGACGACACCGCCAGAGAACCGACUUGUCCUGCGCGCGACGGAGCUACCGUCGGCGGAGGUGACGGCAGAGAAUGUCGAGGCUGCUCACAAUCACGUAUUACCGGGCGGCACCGGAGCGAGAACGAGCGAUGGUGCGGCAACGCAGCAGGGCACCGUGACCACAAGCACCACAGUGCUGCCAGGCAAAGCGGUAGGCACGACGGCAACCACGUCCUGCUACCACAGUGCCGCAGGCCCUGCCGCGGCCGCGGAGGCCGUCCAGCGUGCCUCUCUUGCGCGCAGCGCCAGCAUAGACAGCAGCGGAAGCCGCUCCCUCGUCCACGCCACGCACACCCACGGCAGUGCCAACAGUAGUACCACCGGCGCCAAGUCGAGCAACGAGUGCUACGGCAGUGAGGGCAGAAGCAGCAGCGGAGUCAAGAGCCAGAGAGCGGCGCCCAGCGCGGUUCACUUCAGCAUGGUCACGCUGCGUCACCUGGAGGAGACAUGCAACACAAUGUGGGGCCCUGUGGCCGCCUUCCACUCGAAGCAUCUCUGCGUCUUCAGCAUCGUCAUGUACGCGGAGUCGCCGUGGACGAUGCGUUUUGGGGCGGCGACGAACUAUGCGGCCCAGCCGCCUCACCCGAGAACCACCUCGAGCAUCUCGAGCAGUUACCACGGCUCGCAGCUAAAUCACUGGAGCGGCGGCAAGCCUAGCGCCACGCUGUCCUUCUUCGGGAACGCCAUGGUGGACCAGCCGUCCGACGUCGUGUUCGUCGCCGGCGAGCCGGUGCGGUUUUGCGUUCGACUGCAGCCGCAAGCGCAGAACUGGCCAGAGGACGCGGACAUGGACGAGACCUUCUUUAUCCGCCUCAAGUACAACCCGGAGCAGUGGAUGGUGAUCGGCAAGCAGCGCGACCGCCGCACUCUCUCCUUGAUGGAGGAGGUGACGGUGUACUUCAACGCCGUCCCGCUGCUUCCUCUGGCGUCCGCUGAUGGCGACAGGAGUGCGGCGGGGUCGCCAACGGCGGCCGGGGCCGUGACCUCGAUAAGCGGCGGCCUCGGCAAGGGCCCUCCCCGCAGGGCUGAUGACUCCGCAAACGGAAGCGACGAGGACUCGGACGAGGACAAGGACGUCGAUGCCGCUACCAGGACAGGACGCCGGCAGCGCCGCUCAGCCUGGCCCCUCGCCGGGCACGCGGUGAAGGACGAGGGCAUCCUGCAAACGCCCACCGUUGAGAUGUUCUGGGAACGAAAGAAGCCAACGACAGCGACGGAUGGCGCAGCAAGCCUGUCGAUGAACAGCUUCGGAGAAGGGAAGAGCAACACCUCGGCAGCUGGAGUGGAGGCAGGUCCCAGUGUGGUGGAUGGGCAGUCGACGUGCGCGGACACCGUAAUGGGCGAGGCCGUUCUUGUCGACGUGGUGCAAUUUCGUACGUGGGUGCGCGUGCGCAAGCGCGGUCACUGACCGUCUCAUUCUCUUUCUUUCCCCACCCCGAUCCUGGUGUCGGGCGCGGCCCUUUGAUUUGUUGGUGGUUGCGGAGGUCGAACUGACUGAAGCGGCGCACGUGACAGGCGACUAAUAAGUCUCCGUGUGGGUGCACGUGUGUGUGUGUGUGUGUGUGUGUGUGUGGAUUCCGCUGAUGUAGAAUCACCGCCCACAUGCGCCACAACGCACCCCCCCCACACACACACGCGCACUCACACCCCUCCCUCUCUCCCCGCGUCUUCGUGCGCAAUGCAUACCUCGAAACGAAGCAGUGAAGAAUAGCGCGGCGCGGAAGCCUCUUCAGUGCCCCCACCCACCCCCCAGCCUCUCCAAGAGGCGCUGCAUGGCGGUGCAGCGUGGGCUCUCGAGUCUGUGUACGCCGACCGCCGUCGCCUCCCUACCACCCCCUCCACCACGGUUGCGUUUUCCCUUUGACACAGGCAAACACACGCACGCAUACGUGGUGGAUGGAAUGGGUUUUUGAUGGCGUCUUGACAAUGGUCUGCCACAGGCGCGCGCGUCGCACCAUCUGCCUAGCCAUGUCUCGCUAUCCCUCGCUCUGUGUGUGUAUGUGUGCGCUCCUCACCGCUCCCUCGGGCACGCCGCUCUCAGUGCCUGCCCCACCCACCCCCUUUCCGCGCACACGCACGCACCCUCAUGUCUUCCUGUUGCCCCUCGUGUGCGCCUCUUGGCGGCUGGGCUCAUCUACUGUUCUGGCUUGCCUUGCUUUCGGGUCUGCUUUUCUGCCACACGCAGGUCUUCUGCUGCCGCGGGAGAGUACGUGCGUGUGGCGGGGGGGGGGGGGAGUCGCCUGCUCGCUUUGCUUUAGUGCCAAUCGUAGAAGCGCCGCCCUAAUGCCAGGCAAGUGCCGCUGUCGCCGCUCUCGUGCAUGCAUGCAGGCACCGCUGUAAACGUAGAUGCGCGUCUUACCCUCUCACUCCUCCACGUCGCCACCACCUUUUCCUUCGCAUCCUAUUCGGCCAG